UGGGGAAUAUUGGACAAUGGGCGAAAGCCUGAUCCAGCAAUGCCGCGUGAGUGAUGAAGGCCUUAGGGUUGUAAAGCUCUUUUACCCGGGAUGAUAAUGACAGUACCGGGAGAAUAAGCCCCGGCUAACUCCGUGCCAGCAGCCGCGGUCAUACGGAGGGGGCUAGCGGUGUUCGGAUUUACUGGGCGUAAAGGGCGCGUAGGCGGCGCGGUAAGUCACUUGUGAAAUCGCUGAGCUUACCUCAGAACGGCCAAGUGAUACUGCUGUGCUAGAGUGCGGAAGAGGCAACCGGAAUUCUUGGUGUAGCGGUGAAAAGCGUAGAUAUCAAGAGGAACACCUGAGGCGAAGGCGGGUUGAUGGGCCGACACUGACGCUGAUGCGCGAC
rnacentral:rRNA from 1 species